rnacentral:ncRNA from 2 species
AAAGGGGUGCUGGCUCUGGCCGGCUGAGAGGCGCUGUGCGCCAACCCAUGAACCUGAUCUGGGUAAUGCCAGCGUAGGAAGUAUGAGGAU